CAACACCCCUGCAGAUGAGGGUGGUGAGGAUGACAUCGCCGAUGCGUUCGACGAGGCGCAAAGGGUUGACAAACAGGUUCUUAGGGCCCCCUUAAAUAGAUAUGUGUCACAACAGUUGUCUAACUACUCCGAGGAAGCUAGUAGGCAACUGUUCCGGAGUAGAGACGACAAGAGCAACCCUCUUCGCAGCUUUGUGAAGAAAAUCAAAAAGGGCUGCAAGAAGUUAGCGGCUAAGCUGAGCUGUGCAGACACGACAUAUGAGCCUCCGUUGCACCCCAUGUUGUCU